AAUCUAUGUGUGUUUUCAGGGGUAACGGUGACUACCACCUGUAUAAAUCUAUGUGUGUUUUCAGGGGUAACGGUGACUACCACCUGUAUAAAUCUAUGUGUGUUUUCAGGGGUAACGGUGACUACCACCUGUAUAAAUCUAUGUGUGUUUUCAGGGGUAACGGUGACUACCACCUGUAUAAAUCUAUGUGUGUUUUCAGGGGUAAAGGUGACUACCACCUGUAUAAAUCUAUGUGUGUUUUCAGGGGUAACGGU